ACGGAGAGUUUGAUCCUGGCUCAGGAUGAACGCUGGCGGCGUGCUUAACACAUGCAAGUCGAACGGAAAGGCCCUGCUUUUGUGGGGUGCUCGAGUGGCGAACGGGUGAGUAACACGUGAGUAACCUGCCCCUGACUCUGGGAUAAGCCUGGGAAACUGGGUCUAAUACCGGAUAGGACCUCUCAACGCAUGUUGGGUGGUGGAAAGUUUU
rnacentral:rRNA from 1 species